AUUGAACGCUGGCGGCAGGCCUAACACAUGCAAGUCGAGCGGUUGAAGGGAGCUUGCUCCCUGAUUCAGCGGCGGACGGGUGAGCAAUGCCUAGGAAUCUGCCUAUUAGUGGGGGACAACGUUUCGAAAGGAACGCUAAUACCGCAUACGUCCUACGGGAGAAAGCAGGGGACCUUCGGGCCUUGCGCUAAUAGAUGAGCCUAGGUCGGAUUAGCUUGUUGGUGAGGUAAUGGCUCACCAAGGCGACGAUCCGUAACUGGUCUGAGAGGAUGAUCAGUCACACUGGAACUGAGACACGGUCCAGACUCCUACGGGAGGCAGCAGUGGGGAAUAUUGGACGAUGGGCGAAAGCCUGAUCCAGCCAUGCCGCGUGUGUGAAGAAGGUCUUCGGAUUGUAAAGCACUUUAAGUUGGGAGGAAGGGUUGUAGAUUAAUACUCUGCAAUUUUGACGUUACCGACAGAAUAAGCACCGGCUAACUCUGUGCCAGCAGCCGCAGUAACAC
rnacentral:rRNA from 1 species